GAUGGAGUGUGCCAGGCUGAGC
rnacentral:miRNA from 1 species